CGGACCCGGAUCAGGAAACACGCGGGGGAUGCGUGAUGGAUGCUGCUAGCCACCGGGGCGGGAGGAGCGAUCUGGGGUCCCUCGGCCCCCCAACUUGGAUUCCGGCUGAGAAGUUGGGAUGCAGAAUUUGUACAUCAUAUUUUAUUUAAAGAUUUGGAACCUUCCUAUAUUGCGGUUGAUGGAGGUGCUGAUGAGAGCUAAAUUUGCCUCCUUUACUUGGAGCUAUUGUGAGACCUCCACCCUAGAGUGGGAAUAGAGACGACGCCUGCACAAAACCCGGCUUCGAAUCCAGUAACUUCACCUUUCAGAGCAACCACCAAACAAAACCAAGUUUGAGAUUACAAUAAGACCCUUCCUGGUCUGGUUGUCUUUUCUAACUUUUCCCUCCCUUCUCCUUUUGGAUGGUGUUUCCUCAGGCAGCAUCUAGAGCAAGGGCUAUAUUUACAGGCCAGCCUGUAAUUUCUGAAUUGCUGAAAAUUAGCAUUUUAACGAUAUCAGUAGCUCCGGAAAGGAGGGAGAAGCUGCCUCCCAUUUGGUAAUUGAAAUUUGAUGGGUAAACUAAUUAUGCCAUUAUUAACAAAUAAAUUACUUAUUAAUUCCACCUAAUGUUGAUCUUUGAAGUAAAUACUGAUGC